rnacentral:rRNA from 1 species
UACGGAGGAUCCAAGCGUUAUCCGGAUUUAUUGGGUUUAAAGGGUGCGUAGGUGGCUUAUUAAGUCAGUGGUGAAAGCCUGCAGCUUAACUGCAGAACUGCCAUUGAUACUGAUGAGCUUGAGUACAGUUGAGGUGGGCGGAAUGUGUCAUGUAGCGGUGAAAUGCUUAGAUAUGACACAGAACACCGAUUGCGAAGGCAGCUCGCUAAACUGUAACUGACACUGAGGCACGAAAGCGUGGGGAGCAAACAGG